rnacentral:rRNA from 1 species
AAUGAACGCUGGCGGCAUGCCUAACACAUGCAAGUCGAACGAAGCCUUCGGGCUUAGUGGCGCACGGGUGCGUAACGCGUGGGAAUCUGCCCUUGGGUUCGGAAUAACUCUCCGAAAGGAGUGCUAAUACCGGAUGAUGUCGUAAGACCAAAGAUUUAUCGCCCAAGGAUGAGCCCGCGUAGGAUUAGCUAGUUGGUGAG